AGAAUCAACGCUGGCGGCGUGCCUAACACAUGCAAGUCGCACGAGAAAGGGGAGCAAUCCCUGAGUAAAGUGGCGCACGGGUGAGUAACACGUGAAUAAUCUACCUCCGAGUGGGGAAUAACUGAGAGAAAUCUUAGCUAAUACCGCAUAACACUUACGAGUCAAAGCAGCAAUGCGCUUGGAGAGGAGUUCGCGGCCGAUUAGUUAGUUGGCGGGGUAAUGGCCCACCAAGACGAUGAUCGGUAUCCGGCCUGAGAGGGCGCACGGACACACUGGAACUGAAACACGGUCCAGACUCCUACGGAGGCAGCAGUGGGGAAUUUUGCGCAAUGGGGAAACCCUGACGCAGCAACGCCGCGUGGAGGAUGAAGCCCCUUGGGGUGUAAACUCCUUUCGAUCGGGAAGAUAAUGACGGUACCGAUAUAAGAAGCCCCGGCUAACUUCGUGCCAGCAGCCGC
rnacentral:rRNA from 1 species